UACAUACGUAUGUCGUAUCUAUUCGGUUAUUAAAGUGAUUAUUAUUAUACUGUUUACCACUUAAUAUAUUUUAUAGUUUAAUCUAGUUACUAGAAUUUUAGUACAUAAUAUUAUUAUAUUAUGUGCAGACGUAUUAUGAUUGAAUAUGUUCUUCGGUUCUUCUCCUCGUGACAAAAAUGAAUCUACUUUUUUCAAAGAUGUUUCGCUCAUGAACUUUAUUAUAACAUUAUUGAAACUAUACCUGCUGAAAUUUGGCAUGUCCAAGAUUCCUAAAAAGUAUUAUUUUCAAAAAUCAAAAUUCAACUGUCUCAUAUUUGAACCUUAAAUAGAAUUAUUAUUUUGAUCAUCUCCUUUGUUAAUGGUUUAAAAUUACAUACCUAAUAAUGUAAUAACGUUAAAUACUAAUACUUUGAUUUUUUUCUUUACAUUCUUCAUAGACAGUGAGACAAAUAACAAAUUAUAAUGUUAUAGACUCACUAUGUCAAGGAAGGAAAGUAUAUCUAAACUCGUCGGAAAACUUGGUAUUAAAAAUCCCAUACGACCCAUCGGUCUUAGUCAAGUUCUUGAAUUCUGAUGUGAAGUUUUUUUUUCCUGUCAUGAAACGAACGUCAUCCCAGAACAAGCAAAAACAAAAUUUUGCGGAACAAUUACAAAUUACUUUUCGUUUAUAUUUAUACAAUAUGUAUAUUAAUAGGUAUGUAAUAAUAUAGGUAUUAUGUAAUAAAGUUAAUAUAUAUUAUUUAUGUAUUAUUGAAAAAACUCUAGACAUUAUUAAGACUUUUGUUGAUAUUUAUUUUGUACAUAGUUUGUUCAAAACUAUUGAAAUUUAUUAGGUUAGCACCUUAUAUUAUGAAAUUUUACAAUAUUAAAAUAUUUUUUUUAAGUUAAAUAAUCAAAUUCUAAGAUAAACGAAUUAUAACAUAAUUAAAAAUAAUAUAUUAAAACUUUAAGUUUAGUGUUUUUUUUAUUUCAUGGAAAAUCACAAGGAAUACUCAUUGGACCGCACACUGCCCAGAAUAAUAUACCCAAGUAUACGUUUAUUUUAAAAAACAGUUAUAAACAGUAGAGUGUAAUAAUUAAUGAUAUUUUUUUUAUGUAAUUGUUGGUGCGUAAAUCCCGAUUACUCAGAAUUAGCUGUAUAUGAAAAGUUUAUGUAAUUGAAAUCAAGACUGGUCGUAGUUUAUGAGUUUAACCACUUAUAUUUAAAUAACUUUACCAAAAUGUCGUUAAUAUUCAAGGGCUCAAUUCCAGAAAAAUACUUGAAACUUUACAUUAACACGACGAUUUAUAUUGAUAAUGGUAUUUUAUUUAAAAUGAUUACAAUUACCCCAUAUUUAUUAAAAUAACCUCGAAAAUAACCUACCUUGAAUCCUCUUUAUUAUUUUUGAUAAAAUAUUUAUUCACGUUUAACAUGAAAAACAAACAAAACUGUUUAGCUCAAUAUCUACUAAAAUUCUCGACAAUUUUACAUUUAACAAUAUAAUAGCAUACUCUUGUUUAACUAAAAACAAAUGGCAAUGCCUAGGUACUAAUAAUGUUAUGAUCAUGCACGAUGUCAGCAGUAUGCAAAGUAUACUAAUUUAUUGUAUCCAGACGUUUUUGUG